ensembl:lncRNA
GAAACAUCUCAGACCCUGAAAGUCCUCAAUACGGAGCUGCAGCUUGGCGCUGCAAGGCUGCAAAGGUCACUUUCCCAGUGGGGAGAGAAUCAGCCAUUUCAGCCUGGGGAAUAAAAUCUACUUUGAACAGAAUGGCAUAUUGGGACAUGCCACAUGAAGCUCCACUCUGCUGUCACGAAACUGCCUCUGAAAACACUUUUGCUGCUUUGCUGCACUGUGGUUCUCAAAGGAGCUGGAUGCACCUUGCAAAAGUUUGGUGAGCUCAAGUACUUCACCUGAGCUGCAGGGACAGAAUAAUCUUGAGGGCAUGGAAACCUGCAGAGAACAUCUGCUGGAUCUUCAUGUCUCUAUGACAAAGGUGAAAUCUUCAUCUGUGGUGCAGAGCUGCUUGGAGAGCAGAGGGCUUUGAGCUGAGCACAACCCUGCCCAACCACACUGUCCUCCGUAGAGCAGGAAGAUGGGGACAAUGCAUGCAGAUAUGUUGUGGAAGGACCCACAUCUGUGUUCUGCUCCCACGAUCAGGGCAGGAGCUGCCAGCAGGGAAG